GAUGAACGCUGGCGGCGUGCCUAAUACAUGCAAGUCGAGCGAACAGACGAGGAGCUUGCUCCUCUGACGUUAGCGGCGGACGGGUGAGUAACACGUGGAUAACCUACCUAUAAGACUGGGAUAACUUCGGGAAACCGGAGCUAAUACCGGAUAAUAUAUUGAACCGCAUGGUUCAAUAGUGAAAGACGGUUUUGCUGUCACUUAUAGAUGGAUCCGCGCCGCAUUAGCUAGUUGGUAAGGUAACGGCUUACCAAGGCGACGAUGCGUAGCCGACCUGAGAGGGGGAUCGGCCACACUGGAACUGAGACACGGUCCAGACUCCUACGGGAGGCAGCAGUAGGGAAUCUUCCGCAAUGGGCGAAAGCCUGACGGAGCAACGCCGCGUGAGUGAUGAAGGUCUUCGGAUCGUAAAACUCUGUUAUUAGGGAAGAACAAAUGUGUAAGUAACUAUGCUCGUCUUGACGGUACCUAAUCAGAAAGCCACGGCUAACUACGUG
rnacentral:rRNA from 1 species